rnacentral:rRNA from 1 species
AUUGAACGCUGGCGGCAGGCUUAACACAUGCAAGUCGAGCGGGGUGAUGGUGCUUGCACUAUCACUUAGCGGCGGACGGGUGAGUAAUGCUUAGGAAUCUGCCUAUUAGUGGGGGACAACAUCUCGAAAGGGCUGCUAAUACCGCAUACGUCCUACGGGAGAAAGCAGGGGAUCACUUGUGACCUUGCGCUAAUAGAUGAGCCUAAGUCGGAUUAGCUAGUUGGUGGGGUAAAGGCCUACCAAGGCGACGAUCUGUAGCGGGUCUGAGAGGAUGAUCCGCCACACUGGGCCUGAGACACGGCCCAGACUCCUACGGGAGGCAGCAGUGGGGAAUAUUGGACAAUGGGGGGAACCCUGAUCCAGCCAUGCCGCGUGUGUGAAGAAGGCCUUAUGGUUGUAAAGCACUUUAAGCGAGGAGGAGGCUCCUUUGGUAAAUACCCAAGAUGAGUGGACGUUACUCGCAGAAUAAGCACCGGCUAACUCUGUGCCAGCAGCCGCGGUAA